rnacentral:rRNA from 1 species
UACAGAGGUCUCAAGCGUUGUUCGGAUUCAUUGGGCGUAAAGGGUGCGUAGGUGGCGCCGUAAGUCGGGUGUGAAAUUUCGGAGCUUAACUCCGAAACUGCAUUCGAUACUGCGGUGCUUGAGGACUGGAGAGGAGACUGGAAUUCAUGGUGUAGCAGUGAAAUGCGUAGAGAUCAUGAGGAAUACCAGAGGCGAAGGCGGCUACCUGGACAAUUGCUGACGCUCAGGCACGAAAGCGUGGGGAGCAAAAGGG